UCCGGUGAUUAUAGCGAAGAGGUCACACCUGUUCCCAUCUCGAACACAGUAGUUAAGCUCAUAAACGCCGAAAGUACUUGGCUGGAGACGGCCUGGGAGGAUAGGAAGCCGCUGCUU
rnacentral:rRNA from 1 species